GACGAACGCUGGCGGCGUGCUUAACACAUGCAAGUCGAACGGAAAGACCCUGCUUUUGUGGGGUGCUCGAGUGGCGAACGGGUGAGUAACACGUGAGUAACCUGCCCUUGACUUUGGGAUAACUUCAGGAAACUGGGGCUACUACCGGAUAGGAGCUCCUGCUGCAUGGUGGGGGUUGGAAAGUUUCGGCGGUUGGGGAUGGACUCGCGGCUUAUCAGCUUGUUGGUGGGGUAGUGGCUUACCAAGGCUUUGACGGGUAGCCGGCCUGAGAGGGUGACCGGCCACAUUGGGACUGAGAUACGGCCCAGACUCCUACGGGAGGCAGCAGUGGGGAAUAUUGCACAAUGGGCGGAAGCCUGAUGCAGCAACGCCGCGUGCGGGAUGACGGCCUUCGGGUUGUAAACCGCUUUCGCCUGUGACGAAGCGUGAGUGACGGUAAUGGGUAAAGAAGCACCGGCUAACUACGUG
rnacentral:rRNA from 1 species